rnacentral:rRNA from 1 species
UGGGGGAUAUUGCACAAUGGGCGAAAGCCUGAUGCAGCGACGCCGCGUGGGGGAUGAAGGCUUUCGGGUUGUAAACCUCUUUCGCUAUCGAACAAGGCCCGCUUAGGGUGGGUUGAGGGUAGGUGGAGAAGAAGCGCCGGCUAACUACGUGCCAGCAGCCGCGGUAAUACGUAGGGCGCGAGCGUUGUCCGGAAUUAUUGGGCGUAAAGGGCUUGUAGGCGGCUUGUUGCGCCUGCUGUGAAAACGCGGGGCUUAACUUCGCGCGUGCAGUGGGUACGGGCAGGCUUGAGUGGGGUAGGGGUGACUGGAAUUCCAGGUGUAGCGGUGGAAUGCGCAGAUAUCUGGAGGAACACCGAUGGCGAAGGCAGGUCACUGGGCCAUUACUGACGCUGAGGAGCGAAAGCAUGGGGAGCGAACAGG